AAUUUUGGACAAUGGGGGAAACCCUGAUCCAGCCAUCCCGCGUGUAUGAUGAAGGCCCUCGGGUUGUAAAGUACUUUUGGCAGAGAAGAAAAGGCAUCCCCUAAUACGGGAUGCUGCCGACUGUAUCUGCAGAAUAAACACCGGCUAACUACGUCACUGCAUCCGCGGUAAUACGUAGGGUGUAAGCGUUAAUCGGAAUCACUCGGCGUAAAGCAUGUGUAGGCGGAUCGGAAAGAAAGAUGUGGAAGCCCAGGGCUCAACCUUGGAACUGCAUUUUUAACUGCCGAGCUAGAGUAUGUCAGAGGGGGGUAGAGUUCCACGUGUAGCAGUGAAAUGCGUAGAUAUGUGGAGGAAUACCGAUGGCGAAGGCAGCCCCCUGGGAUAAUACUGACGCUCAGACACGAAAGCGUGGGGAGCAAGCAGG
rnacentral:rRNA from 1 species